rnacentral:rRNA from 1 species
UGGGGAAUAUUGCACAAUGGGCGCAAGCCUGAUGCAGCCAUGCCGCGUGUGUGAAGAAGGCCUUCGGGUUGUAAAGCACUUUCAGCGAGGAGGAAGGUGGUGAGCUUAAUACGCUCAUCAAUUGACGUUACUCGCAGAAGAAGCACCGGCUAACUCCGUGCCAGCAGCCGCGGUAAUACGGAGGGUGCAAGCGUUAAUCGGAAUUACUGGGCGUAAAGCGCACGCAGGCGGUUUGUUAAGUCAGAUGUGAAAUCCCCGGGCUCAACCUGGGAACUGCAUUUGAAACUGGCAAGCUAGAGUCUCGUAGAGGGGGGUAGAAUUCCAGGUGUAGCGGUGAAAUGCGUAGAGAUCUGGAGGAAUACCGGUGGCGAAGGCGGCCCCCCUGGACGAAGACUGACGCUCAGGUGCGAAAGCGUGGGGCAGCAAACAGGAUUAGAUACCCUGGUAGUCCACGCUGUAAACGAUGUCGAUUUGGAGGUUGUGCCCUUGAGGCGUGGNUUCCGGAGCUAACGCGUUAAAUCGACCGCCUGGGGAGUACGGUCGCAAGAUUAAAAACUCAAAGGAAUUGACGGGGGUC